GCGUUUGUAGUCCAACGAUUAGGAUAAUUGCCUUCCAAGCAAUAGACCCGGGUUUGACUCUCGGCAAACGCA
rfam:Ipomoea nil DNA, scaffold: scaffold1734, cultivar: Tokyo-kokei standard.